rnacentral:rRNA from 1 species
AAUCUUCCACAAUGGACGAAAGUCUGAUGGAGCAACGCCGCGUGAGCGAAGAAGGUUUUCGGAUCGUAAAGCUCUGUUGUGAGGGAAGAACAAGUACAGGAGUAACUGUCUGUACCUUGACGGUACCUCAUUAGAAAGCCACGGCUAACUACGUCCCAGCAGCCGCGGUAAUACGUAGGUGGCAAGCGUUGUCCGGAAUUAUUGGGCGUAAAGCGCGCGCAGGCGGCCUUUUAAGUCUGAUGUGAAAGCCCACGGCUUAACCGUGGAAGGUCAUUGGAAACUGAGGGACUUGAGUGCAGAAGAGGAAAGUGGAAUUCCAAGUGUAGCGGUGAAAUGCGUAGAGAUUUGGAGGAACACCAGUGGCGAAGGCGACUUUCUGGUCUGUAACUGACGCUGAGGCGCGAAAGCGUGGGGAGCAAACA